UCCACUCCACUCAAGUCCUGAAUAGAACAUAAGGGCUGAGUAAAAGGGAAUUCACUCUCUGCCUGACCAUCUGCGAGCUAGGAUGUUGGUCUUCUGCCUUUGGACUCAGACUUGGACUGAAACGUAUCCCAUCACCUUUCCUUGUUCUCAGGUUUUUGGAGCAGAACCACGCCAUCGUCUCUCCUGGGACUCCGGCUUGCUGACUGCGGAUCUUGGCACUUGUCAGCUUCCAUAACCGUGCUACCGGACAGACGUGCUGGGGCCCAGGAACUCUACCUCAUGGCUUCUAAGCAGGCAGAUUUGGCCCAGAGGGCAUGCCGCUGCUUCUGAUGCUCCCAAGAAGUUGUAUGAAGCCUCCAACUUGGGACCUCCUUGGGGAGCCAAGAGAAGGGCAGUGGGCAAAUGCUGGAUAGUUGGGCAAGGUUUCAGGACCCUGACAUCUCUAAGGCCUAUGAGUAAUCACUCUUCAGUAUCUGCAAGGGAAGAAUGAGACAAGAAAACUGAAGUCCACAAAGUUUAUAUAAAUUGCACACAAAUACAGCUGGCAAUGUUAGAGGAGCCGUUAUGAAGUCCCCAUUACAGAGAGAACCCAGACUCAGAGCAAAUGCAAGCUGACCAGACCUUUCCAAUGUGUAAGUACUUAGAGUUUACAUGUAACUAGCAUGGUGCUCACUGUAUGUCAAACUCCACUGGGUUAUCUGCACCUGGGUUUCUUUCCCUAUGGUUUCCCACUCAUCUGAGAAUUGGAUACCAAACCUAUUUCCUUUCCAGAGUGACCUUUGGCCCUCAUUAUCCCCCAACAUUGAGAUAAUGCAUGUAAAACACCUUAAUUGUUUGGCACUUGACAUAUCACAAGUUCUGAAUAGACAGUGGAUAGAAACAAUACUUAGAGUCACUCCUACAACAUGCCAGUUGCAGCCCCCUCAGUCUAGAAAUCACCCUUUACUUGGGUUUCUUAUGAACAGUCACAUCCCAAUGGCAACACUGACAGCAGUUAUCAGGGAAGGAAAUGGGAAGAGGUGUUGGCUUCUCUGGUGUGGCCAGAAGUCAUGGUAUCAGCUUUAAUUGGUGAUCCAGGAAGGGUGUGUGUGCUUUGCAGAUAUGGCAGGCAUUGGUGGCCUCUCUUGUUUUCUUUUUCAGCUCUAAGUCAUUCGGUAGAAAAAUCCAAAGCUGGAAGAAAUGUUGGGGUAAUAGUUGAUUGCCUGUAGUUUUAUCCAUUAAAAGGGUUUUAAGUUAGAGAAAUAAACCUUCAUCUUUUUUUACCUGUGGCUUAGUAUCUUCAGUAUUGUUCUGGACACCAUAAGAUACAAAAAAAGACAGAACACAUAGUUCCUGUGAUCAAAAAUCUAUUAUUUAGUUAGCUAAAGAAGAUAUUUGUACAGGAAAACAGUAAAUAAAUAAAUUCAGGGGAGUUCCCGUCGUGGCUCAGUGGUUAAUG